GGUUAAGCGACUAAGCGUACACGGUGGAUGCCCUGGCAGUCAGAGGCGAUGAAGGACGUGCUAAUCUGCGAUAAGCGUCGGUAAGGUGAUAUGAACCGUUAUAACCGGCGAUUUCCGAAUGGGGAAACCCAGUGUGAUUCGUCACACUAUCAUUAACUGAAUCCAUAGGUUAAUGAGGCGAACCGGGGGAACUGAAACAUCUAAGUACCCCGAGGAAAAGAAAUCAACCGAGAUUCCCCCAGUAGCGGCGAGCGAACGGGGAGCAGCCCAGAGCCUGAAUCAGUGUGUGUGUUAGUGGAAGCGUCUGGAAAGGCGCGCGAUACAGGGUGACAGCCCCGUACACAAAAAUGCACAUGCUGUGAGCUCGAUGAGUAGGGCGGGACACGUGGUAUCCUGUCUGAAUAUGGGGGGACCAUCCUCCAAGGCUAAAUACUCCUGACUGACCGAUAGUGAACCAGUACCGUGAGGGAAAGGCGAAAAGAACCCCGGCGAGGGGAGUGAAAAAGAACCUGAAACCGUGUACGUACAAGCAGUGGGAGCACGCUUAGGCGUGUGACUGCGUACCUUUUGUAUAAUGGGUCAGCGACUUAUAUUCUGUAGCAAGGUUAACCGAAUAGGGGAGCCGAAGGGAAACCGAGUCUUAACUGGGCGUUAAGUUGCAGGGUAUAGACCCGAAACCCGGUGAUCUAGCCAUGGGCAGGUUGAAGGUUGGGUAACACUAACUGGAGGACCGAACCGACUAAUGUUGAAAAAUUAGCGGAUGACUUGUGGCUGGGGGUGAAAGGCCAAUCAAACCGGGAGAUAGCUGGUUCUCCCCGAAAGCUAUUUAGGUAGCGCCUCGUGAAUUCAUCUCCGGGGGUAGAGCACUGUUUCGGCAAGGGGGUCAUCCCGACUUACCAACCCGAUGCAAACUGCGAAUACCGGAGAAUGUUAUCACGGGAGACACACGGCGGGUGCUAACGUCCGUCGUGAAGAGGGAAACAACCCAGACCGCCAGCUAAGGUCCCAAAGUCAUGGUUAAGUGGGAAACGAUGUGGGAAGGCCCAGACAGCCAGGAUGUUGGCUUAGAAGCAGCCAUCAUUUAAAGAAAGCGUAAUAGCUCACUGGUCGAGUCGGCCUGCGCGGAAGAUGUAACGGGGCUAAACCAUGCACCGAAGCUGCGGCAGCGACGCUUAUGCGUUGUUGGGUAGGGGAGCGUUCUGUAAGCCUGUGAAGGUGUGCUGUGAGGCAUGCUGGAGGUAUCAGAAGUGCGAAUGCUGACAUAAGUAACGAUAAAGCGGGUGAAAAGCCCGCUCGCCGGAAGACCAAGGGUUCCUGUCCAACGUUAAUCGGGGCAGGGUGAGUCGACCCCUAAGGCGAGGCCGAAAGGCGUAGUCGAUGGGAAACAGGUUAAUAUUCCUGUACUUGGUGUUACUGCGAAGGGGGGACGGAGAAGGCUAUGUUGGCCGGGCGACGGUUGUCCCGGUUUAAGCGUGUAGGCUGGUUUUCCAGGCAAAUCCGGAAAAUCAAGGCUGAGGCGUGAUGACGAGGCACUACGGUGCUGAAGCAACAAAUGCCCUGCUUCCAGGAAAAGCCUCUAAGCAUCAGGUAACAUCAAAUCGUACCCCAAACCGACACAGGUGGUCAGGUAGAGAAUACCAAGGCGCUUGAGAGAACUCGGGUGAAGGAACUAGGCAAAAUGGUGCCGUAACUUCGGGAGAAGGCACGCUGAUAUGUAGGUGAGNNNNNNNNNNNNUGGAGCUGAAAUCAGUCGAAGAUACCAGCUGGCUGCAACUGUUUAUUAAAAACACAGCACUGUGCAAACACGAAAGUGGACGUAUACGGUGUGACGCCUGCCCGGUGCCGGAAGGUUAAUUGAUGGGGUUAGCGCAAGCGAAGCUCUUGAUCGAAGCCCCGGUAAACGGCGGCCGUAACUAUAACGGUCCUAAGGUAGCGAAAUUCCUUGUCGGGUAAGUUCCGACCUGCACGAAUGGCGUAAUGAUGGCCAGGCUGUCUCCACCCGAGACUCAGUGAAAUUGAACUCGCUGUGAAGAUGCAGUGUACCCGCGGCAAGACGGAAAGACCCCGUGAACCUUUACUAUAGCUUGACACUGAACAUUGAGCCUUGAUGUGUAGGAUAGGUGGGAGGCUUUGAAGUGUGGACGCCAGUCUGCAUGGAGCCGACCUUGAAAUACCACCCUUUAAUGUUUGAUGUUCUAACGUUGACCCGUAAUCCGGGUUGCGGACAGUGUCUGGUGGGUAGUUUGACUGGGGCGGUCUCCUCCUAAAGAGUAACGGAGGAGCACGAAGGUUGGCUAAUCCUGGUCGGACAUCAGGAGGUUAGUGCAAUGGCAUAAGCCAGCUUGACUGCGAGCGUGACGGCGCGAGCAGGUGCGAAAGCAGGUCAUAGUGAUCCGGUGGUUCUGAAUGGAAGGGCCAUCGCUCAACGGAUAAAAGGUACUCCGGGGAUAACAGGCUGAUACCGCCCAAGAGUUCAUAUCGACGGCGGUGUUUGGCACCUCGAUGUCGGCUCAUCACAUCCUGGGGCUGAAGUAGGUCCCAAGGGUAUGGCUGUUCGCCAUUUAAAGUGGUACGCGAGCUGGGUUUAGAACGUCGUGAGACAGUUCGGUCCCUAUCUGCCGUGGGCGCUGGAGAACUGAGGGGGGCUGCUCCUAGUACGAGAGGACCGGAGUGGACGCAUCACUGGUGUUCGGGUUGUCAUGCCAAUGGCACUGCCCGGUAGCUAAAUGCGGAAGAGAUAAGUGCUGAAAGCAUCUAAGCACGAAACUUGCCCCGAGAUGAGUUCUCCCUGACCCUUUAAGGGUCCUGAAGGAACGUUGAAGACGACGACGUUGAUAGGCCGGGUGUGUAAGCGCAGCGAUGCGUUGAGCUAACCGGUACUAAUGAACCGUGAGGCUUAACCUU
rnacentral:rRNA from 1 species